UCUCUGUCUCUCUCGCUCUUGUAGGUAUUCAAGUAUCUCUAGAGUUGUGGUCAGGCGAUGGAACUUUAACGAAGCAAAACACACAAUAUUUCAAUUUCAUAAAAAAGAGAACUAAAACUAGCUAUGUGAUUGGUUAAAUUUCGAAAUAUUUGCCGCGAACCGUCGCAGAAAUCAAAUUCGAUGCUUCUGCGUAGUAUUUGUGACGUCAUCGGUGCUUCGUGCAGAAGCAAUCGCAAAAUCCAUGCAAGCUCAAACGUGCUGUUCGUUACCAGACAGUCGCGGUGCUUGGUAGGUGUAAGACGUCCUGUCUGCACGUUAUUUAGAAUCAUUUAUCGAGUUAAAGUAAUUAAAAUAAUACAGAGGAACGACUCUGGGUGCCAUUUCUUAUGGAGCAUUUGUAUCUGUACCCCAGGAUAGUGUGAUACCUGACCUGAAGAAAGAGAAGUGCCUUUUUGUACUGGAAACAGAGUCGGUGUAUUGCUGCUAAAGGAAGGAUAUAUUUUUAUUUAAUCAAUUGGUCUACCAAUGAGAAAGAAUGGAUGGUAAAUUUCAUGGUACUGAGCAACCAAUGCCUACAAUGCUAUAGCUUUUCCUGGACUUCAUUCUAGUUUUGAUGUUGACUCUUCACCUUUUUUUCACCAAUGAAGGUUGAACGGGAUACUACUGAAACAACAAAUUAUCUGCAGUAGCAUUGCUUUUCCAGGAUUUUAUUCACACCUGUAAUCUUUGGAACAUCGCAGUCUGUAGUUUCUUAAGAUCAACGGUGGAGAA